UGAACAUGGGCUGCUGGCAGAAUAACCAGACUGUCACAGGUACAGCAUCAAACCAUAAACAGUUGUGUGUGCAGGGUUGUGAAAGGUGACUGUCAUCACUGUGGCGGCUGACAGUAAAAGCAUAUAUCCAUUAUCGUACCAAAUCCUGAAGACUCCUUGCUCCAGGCUAUUCUCCGGGUCGGUUUACCACGGGCUGAUGGAGACUAGUAUCACUACAGCCACUGCAGCAUUUGGGACUAUGCAGAUCAUGGUGGGCUCUUUUC